GGCUGCUUGGUGGAAUGGAUAACACAUCAGUCCGGUCUACUGAAAAUGCUGGUUCGCACCCAGCCGCCA